rnacentral:rRNA from 1 species
UACGAAGGGGGCUAGCGUUGCUCGGAAUCACUGGGCGUAAAGCGCACGUAGGCGGCUUUCUAAGUCAGGGGUGAAAUCCUGGAGCUCAACUCCAGAACUGCCUUGAUACUGGAGAGCUUGAGUCCGGGAGAGGUGAGUGGAACUCCGAGUGUAGAGGUGAAAUUCGUAGAUAUUACGGAAGAACACCAGUGGCGAAGGCGGCUCACUGGCCCGGUACUGACGCUGAUGUGCGAAAGCGUGGGGAGCAAACAGGG